rnacentral:tRNA from 1 species
GCGGGGAUGGUGGAAUCGGUAGACACACGAGAUUUAAAAUCUCGCGGCGUACGCGCUGUGCGGGUUCAAGUCCCGCUCUCCGCACCA